CAGGUUCAGCUUUGUGACAGCACGUGGAGAGAACAUCAUUAUGAAGACGCUGAAGAUAAAAACAGCAACAAGGUCCCAGAGGGCUAAACUAAGUCUGAAAGAUGAAGCUGCAUAUUUUUCAUCCAUGUUUAAAGAUAAAGAUGGAUUUGAAAUAAAAUACAUAAAUUUAUUUAAAGGUCGAGGAGUCUUCAGCUGUUGCCACUUUCAAAAGGGAGAUUUUCUUGUUGAAUAUCGAGGGGAUGUCGUUACUAAACAAGAAUCUGAAAGAAGGCACAGACUCCAUCACUCUGCAGUUGAAGUGUUUUUCUUUAAAUUUCAUUUUAAUGGAAAAAGAAUGUGGAUAUAAGUCCUGGGGAAGAGAUUACUUAUAACUACAGAGAUUCUGACUGGCCAUGGAGAAGCAAGGUAACUGCUGAGCUGGAACAACCAUCAAAAGCUGUAGCCAGCUGUGCAGCAGGAGAUGAAACGGAGAGGGUUGUUCUGAACCGGUGUGCCAGUGAGCAGGAGGCGGUGCGAUGCCGGAACUGAGCUCACACUCAUCGCAGUCUUCGUUGAUGAGUUUUUGAUCUCGUGUGCUUCAUCUUGAAUGAUGUAAUCCCAGAAGAACUCAUGUCCUCUGAAUGAUUCCAGCUGCUGCCAGUUAUUAAUUAGCAUUUGAGAUGUGGUGAUGACUGCUCCACCCCUACGCUGGAUUUGUUCCAGGUUCCGGCUGCGCUCCAAUUUGUUUUUGCCAUGAAAUUCUUUGACUUGAAAGCCAGGGGUCCAGUGCUUAAAUUCAUUUAGCCAUUUCUUGAUCAAGGGGGUGGGCAUGACGAGAAGCGUGUGAUUGAUCUGCUUGGCAUCAUACAGAGCCAACAGGAAGUUGAGGACCUGAACCGUCUUGCCCAAACCCAUGUUGUCCGCAAGGAUGCCGCCGACAUGCCCGUCCCUAUGCAGGCUGUACAGGAAGGCCACGCCAUCUUUUUGAUGCUCAUACAGCUGAUCGUAAAGCCCUUCAUACAUCAUUAAACCACUGUUGAGCCCGUUUACAAACUCCUCCUCUUCAUCAGAUACGUACAGCUCUUUCAUAGCCUUUUCCGAUCGCUUCAAUCGACCCAGCAUCUUAUCACUCGGACGCACAUCAAAUGCUCGCCGGAAAAAUCCCAGAGAAAGUUGAGCGGCCUCCUUCCCCUGCUGCCUAAGUCUAACACACAUACAGAAGAAAAAGAAACUGUAAAUUCAGUACUUUUUAAUUUAUAAACACACCCCACAUACACACAUACACACAAACAAUACACACAAUAAAUAUCACAGUAGACACACACAAUACACACACACACAGCAUACAUACAUCACAAUAUACACACACGCACACACACAGCAUACAUGCAUCACAACACACACACAGCAUGCAUACUUCACACCACUGGGAGCAUUAUAAGGAAGUUUAAAACGUAUGGAACAGCUGCAAACCUGCCUCGCCGUGGAAGAAAGCUCACAAUUUCAUCAAAGGGCCCUCAACAACUUAGUCAGGACAGCUAGGAAAAACCCCUGUGUGACUGCAAGACAGCUACAGGAUGAUAUGAUGAAGGCUGGUACAAGUGCUUCAGUGGCAACUAUAAGACGUGCACUGAAUAAUCAAGGACUUCAUGGCCGGACCCCAAGACGCACUCUACUUUUGACCUCAAGGAACAUCAGGAGUCGACUAGAAUAUGCCAGGAGGAAUUUGGAUAAAACUACAGAGUUCUGUUCAUGUUCUAUCGAAAACGCUUGUUAGAAGUUAUAAAAACUAAAGGGCGCUCCACAAGGUCUGUGCAAGCCACUGCUGGUGAAUGACCAAUCAGAUUUAAGCUGGUCCAGACAAGACGUGCUAUAAAUACAUGCAGUUUGUACUGUAAGGGACUGUAAGAUUAGCACCAUGAGUCACGGCAGAAGACCACGAGUCUGGAUCAUCGGAAGCUCUAUCAUCGUGAGACUGCGAUCAUAUUUGUCAGCACACAGGCUAGAUGAGAAUCUGUUCCUGGACUGUGACAUCAUCUGGGAUGGAGAAGGAGGGAGAAGAUGGGAGCACCUGUUGGCGCUUCUCCAUGAGAAACGAGCCGCCACUGACUACGACCCAGAUAUAAUGAUUAUUCACCUCAGCGGGAACAGCAUCGGACGUCCUGGUACUAACAGGGUGGAUCUGAUGUGCCGGAUGAAGUCAGACAUCAGAAAAGCCCACAUGUUAUUCCCAACACCAAAAUCAUGUUCUCAGACAUCCUUCCUCGCCGGGACUGGAGGCACCAGACCUCUACUAGCGGAUAUGGAAUAGAAAGAACACGGCGCUGGCUAAACGGCGUGACGUCCGGGUACAUGACGGAACUGGGCAUGCGAUGCAUCUGGCAUCGUGGAAUUAAGUCUUAAGACUUAAGUCUGGAAUGUCUCCAGCAAUUGGACCAGGAUGGAGUGCACCUAAAUGUAGAUGGAAAUAUAGUGUUGGAAUACAAUUUGUACAAUGCACUGGCGGUCGAGUUUAACAGUUAAAAAUAUUCUCCCACGAUAACCUCCAGACCACAAAGACCCUUUUAAGAGCCACCAACUAUUCUCACAUAAGAGCUUUUUUACUGUGCAGCAGCAGCAAACUUACAGGUUGCAUCAGCGCCUGCGUGCACGAGCGCCUUUUUUUUAAAUAGGGGAGGUGUAACCGGAGUAGGAGAGCAGACCCAGAAGCAAAGCAUUGAGGUGAGGCGUGAAGCUGUUAUCCGGAGCCUCAUACUGUACCUUGGUGAAAAACAAGAGGAGCUUUCUGAAGAAUGCCUGGAGGACAGUCGCAGUGACACCAUGCAACACAUCCUUAAGAUUCUGGUGGUCUAUGGAGCUGGUGUAGAGGAUUCAGUGGAUGUAUCUGUUAUUCUCGAAGGCCGGGAGAUCCUACCAGGAUGUCACAACGUGGCUAAAGCUUGUGUACUAUUUAUGGGGUUGAUUUAUGCCCUCAACCUUGUAUACCCCAAACCCCUGCACUAUAUUUUGGGUUGUUCUGUUGUUUUGAAAUUGUUUCCCGCACUUUGGUACAUAAUUUGUACUUUUGCUAUUUGUACUAAAUUGAACUUUAGUAGCGUUUUCAGUUUUAUGCCUUAUAACCACCUGGUCUUACUGUCACCAAGAGAGACCAGACUUUAGAAGCAUCGAUGUGUUUCUACUGUGUGUUUUGAAUUGACUUUAUUCAAGGCAAAUAGUGGUGGGAUAUGUUUUGUUAAAGUUAUCAUUUUUUGCCAGUUUUCAUUUACUUUUAUCUACAGCGUUUAACAUCUUUAAUAAACAUAUUUAACAUCUG